CAUUUUCUUGGAGAGCUAAUAGCUUUGGGGCUUGCUUUGAAAUCAAAUAUUUGCCCAAAGCGGUAGGCAAGCACAUGGCUGUUAGGUUUGCCAGACAGUUAGUCACGGUAACUUGCUCAGCCUGGUUACCUAGAGGGUGAGCCUGUAGCAGAAUGUGAAUGAUACAGGGUUCAGCCAAUCAAAGCCUCGCGCACAGUUACUGAGUGAGGAGGGGCUCAGGUGCCAACCAGAGGCGAUAACACACCAGGACCCUGGAGUCACUGGAAUGGAGUUUGGAGAAAUUCCAGAUAUGACAUCCAUCUAGACUUAUCUACUGCCAAGGGAUAUGAUGCCCUCUUCUGGACUCUGGGCAAAUGCACUCCUAGGACUCCACAUGGACACCUCCGCCCCCCC
ensembl:lncRNA